CCGAGUUUUCGGGCUUCGGCUCGACUCUCCCACCCUUUGUGAACGUACCUCUGUUGCUUUGGCGGCCGAAGCCGCCAAAGGACCUUCAAACUCCAGUCAGUAAACGCAGACGUCUGAUAAACAAGUUAAUAAACUA
rnacentral:misc_RNA from 1 species